rnacentral:lncRNA from 1 species
GGUAGUCCUCCUGGAUUUUCUGCCUUCUUCUUUAAUUUUUCAGAUCCUUUGGCAUUUGAGAGUUGCUUUGUGUAUACGGCCCUUUAAUGGAGCAAAUGGCCAGCCAGGAAACCAAAGUAUGGACAAGGGGAAAGAAGCAUCUGUGGAGGAAGUUUUACAAGCGACCCUCCUCAUCCAUCAACACGGAGAUGCAUUGACACCCUUCUUCAAUCCAGAGGAUGGGCCAUCAACUCACAAAAGUACAAGGCCUGGAACCAGCUGCAAAGUUCCUAUGGAUCACUUGGCCAGGUUAGAGUUCAGUGGUGUGAUCUUGGCUUACCUCAACCUCUGCCUCCCAGGUUCAAGGACUUCUCUUGCCUCAGCCUCCCAAGUGGCUGGGAUUAUAG